AUCUGAUGUUGUGCAAUCUGAUAACUCUUCUUAAAAUUUAUCUGUGGAUUUUGCUAACAUUGUAAUAAAUGGGUCCGAUGAAAUAAAAAGUGUGUGAGCCAA